GUUAUGACAGACUUCACGGGUUGGACUUCUGUCCAAGUUUGCCAGUGGUUGAAAGAUAUUGACUUGGGGGAAUUCUGUGAAAGGAUGGCGAUGAUAAAAAUCUACCAGAGAAAUUUUGUGUCUAACCACAGCACAGAGGAGAUUAUCUCUGAGUUUCCAUGUUUCAGACUGGCCAAAAUGCUCCUUUGGGAUCUGAGAGACCGUACCAACGUUGAUGUGGACCAACAGAUUCUCUCUCAGCUCUCGGUAAUGGCAUCUAAAGUCCUUCAAGUUUCACAGAGUCCCCUGAUGGAGAAGUUCAGUCGUGUGGUUGAUGACUGUGAAGAUGGCAGACUGAAAAAAGGACUACAGUUGGAAGCAGCUAUUCUGCUCUUGCCUGCACUGUUUAAGGAGGACCCGGGGUUGCUGUUUGAAGUUGAGGUUCAUUACUGAGGAGAGUGAGGACAUCUCAGUGGCACUGGGCCUCAUCCUUUGUAUAUAUUUUCUGUUUGGGAUCCAAUAUCCUAAAGGACUGAAAAAGACACUGACCUUCCUGGAGUGCGUUGUCUUAAAAAUGAAGGAUGCAGCCGGACUUCCUGUCACAAUUAAAAGAGUGUACAACUCAAUCUGUGCAUAGAGUCUCUCUCUCUCUCUCUCUCUCUCUCUCUCUCUCUCUCUCUCUCUCUCUUUUCUCUUUCUGGGGCCUAUUCCAAUUUCUAUUUUUUUUCCUUCUAUUUUUUUCUAACUCCUUUAGCCAGUGUUGUUAAUGUUAAAAAGCACGGAUUAUAUUUGCAACUAAAAGAAAUGAAUUAAACUAUUUUAAAAGUUUAAUGUAUUUUGUUUAUCAGUAAGCUUUUAGUACAGGAUUUUGAAUCUUUCAAUCCACGAUUUGGUAUAAAAGCGUCAUUUAGAAGCAUAUUGACUCAAACAUUGUAGUAUAUAGCAUGAUAAUGGCCUACUACCUAAAAAAAAGGUUCUAUAAAGCACCAUUUGACAAAUGUGCUAUAAAGCUUAAGUCCCAUUAAUGCCAAAAGAGGUUCCCCUAUAACGAGCCAAAGAAUCACUGUUGAGCACCAUUUUUGUUGAAGAAAUUGUAAACAAUCAAGGUGCUUUAUGGCACCUCUUAUGGUUCUACAUAGCACCAUUUGACAAAGGUGCUGUACAGCACCUUUAAAGAUAAGUGCUAUAUGGCACUUAAAGUGGUUCCCCUAUGAUUACGAGCCAAAGAACCACCUUUAGUGCUAUUUAGCACCUUUUUUUUUUAGAGUGUGUUUACACAUCGCGGGUUCACCGCACAGUCCUCACUAGCCUUUAUUAAACCGUUCAUACUGUAUUAAGAGUCGGACCCGUCCCGCCCGUACACUGUACAAACAAAGGCUACAAGAGAAUCAUUUCUAUUGUGAAGUGCAGAAACUCAGAAAAACAAGGACGGACUUUCCUAUUUGAACGUUUUCGUAGGCUACAAAAUAUAGAUUUUCAAAAACAAUGUAAAAGCUACCGGUACCCAUCUUUUUUUUUUUUCUUACUGCAGUAGGCCUAUUGUUCAAUUAUUUGUAGCGAAACCACAACAUAAAAAUGAUCCUCAAGCUUUCCAGGGAAUAAAGAAAAAAGAAAAGAAAAGAAAAAAAAUCCA
ensembl:lncRNA